GCUGGCGGCGUGGAUUAGGCAUGCAAGUCGAACGAGAAAGCACCCUUCGGGGUGUGAGUAAAGUGGCGAACGGGUGAGUAACGCGUGGGAAACCUGCCUUUGAGUGGGGGAUAACAGUCCUAACGGGCUGCUAAUACCGCAUGACGCUAUCAAUCACAUGUUUGAUAGUUAAAGAUGGCCUCUACAUGUAAGCUGUCGCUCGAAGAUGGUCCCGCGUCCUAUUAGCUUGUUGGUGGGGUAACGGCCUACCAAGGCAACGAUGGGUAGCCGGCCUGAGAGGGUGGCCGGUCACACUGGGACUGAGAUACG
rnacentral:rRNA from 1 species